rnacentral:RNase_P_RNA from 1 species
UCGGACGGCCGGACGGCCGCUCCCGCCAGGGGUCGAAAGACCGGCGGGAGAGGAAAGUCCGGGCUCCAUGGAGGCAGGGCGCCGGGGAAAUCCCGGCGGGCCGGUUCGCCGGUUCAGGGACAGCGCCGCAGAAAACAGACCGCCGGGACCCGGGCUUCGGCUCCCCGGCAAGGAUGAAACGGUGCGGUAAGAGCGCACCGCCCCGACCGCAAGGAAGGGGGCACGGCAAGCCCCGCCCGGAGCAAGACCGAAUAGGGACGGACGCCGCGGCUUCGGCCGCGGCAGGCGCGCCUCCGCGUUCCGUCCGGGUAGGUCGCACGAGGCGCCGCGCAAGCGGCGUCCCAGAUGAAUGGUCGUCGCGUUCUUUCCCGCGUGGAAAGAACGGCACAGAACCCGGCUUACAGGCCGUCCGACCCU